GAUGAACGCUGGCGGCGUGCCUAAUACAUGCAAGUCGAGCGGACGGACGAGGCUUUUGCUUCGCUGACGUUAGGGGCGGGCGGGUGAGUAACACGUGUAUACCCUACCUAUAAGACUGAUAUCAUUUCGGGAAAGCGGAUCUAACACCGGAUGAGAUUUUGAACCGCAUGGGUCGUUAGAGAGAUACGGUUUUGCUGGCUCUUAUAGAUGGAUCCUCGCUGCUUUAGCUAGUUGGUACGGUAACGGCUUACCAAGGCAACGAUGCGUGGCCGAACUGAGAGGGUGAUCGGCCACACUGGAACUGAGACACGGUCAAGACUCCUACGGGAGGCAGCAGUAGGGAAUGUUAGGCAAUGGGCGAAAGCAUGACGGAGCAAGGCCGCGUGUGUGAUGAAGGUCUUCGGAUCGUAAAGCUCUGUUAUUAGGGAAGAACAGCUGUGUAAGUAAAUGUGGCCGUCUUGACGGUACCUAAUCAGAAAGCACCGGCUAACUACGUG
rnacentral:rRNA from 1 species